UACGUAGGGUGCGAGCGUUAAUCGGAAUUACUGGGCGUAAAGCGUGCGCAGGCGGUUCGCUAAGACCGAUGUGAAAUCCCCGGGCUUAACCUGGGAACUGCAUUGGUGACUGGCGGGCUAGAGUAUGGCAGAGGGGGGUAGAAUUCCACGUGUAGCGGUGAAAUGCGUAGAUAUCUGGAGGAACACCGGUGGCGAAGGCGGCAUCCUGGACCAACACUGACGCUGAGGAGCGAAAGCCAGGGGAGCAAACGGG
rnacentral:rRNA from 1 species